CAAUAGCAUAUAUUAAAGUUGUUGCAGUUAAAAAGCUCGCAGUCGAAGGUGGGGUUGGGGAGGAGGGGGGGUGUGCAAACGCUCCACCCUCUCCCCGCCCAUGCGUCGCAUCGGGCGGCCGUGCCGCAUUGAUUUGUGGGCGGUCGUCUGGACGCGUUUUACUGUGAGUAAAUUAGAGUGUUCCAGGCAGGCGGGCACGCCGAUGGAUAGUUUAGCAUGGAAUAAUAGUGGAGGACGGCCGCGAGCUGACGUUGGUUCCGCCGCGAGCGUAAUGAUUAACAGGGACAGUUGGGGGCAGUCAUAUUUGGUCGUCAGAGGUGAAAUUCUUGGAUUGGCCAACGAUGAACUUGUGCGAAAGCGUCUGCCAAGGAUGUUUUCAUUGA
rnacentral:rRNA from 1 species